UGAUGUUUAAAUAAUUAGCGGAGUAAAUAUAAAAGAUAAUAUCCUUCACCUCAAAUAGUUUAGUAUCACAGGCCCUAUGAUAAAAUAUAAGUAAAUAAAUCUUACAGAUAUUUUGCCUUGGCAAAACAACUUUUAAUUUACAUAAGAAGAUCAGACACUUAACAAAUUAUUUUACAUCAGUUGAAAAUUGACUCUAAAAUUUAUUAGAUCAAAUAUUUAUGUUUGCAUUAACUAUCUAACCCAUGGGGGUGUGUUUGAAUAACUAGUGACAUUAGGGUGUCGCGUCAAAAGCUACACCAUCCACACCCGUUUUCCUAUCCAAAAUGUAUAAUAUAAGGUAAAAAAUUACUUUAUUAAAUUUGAAUAUCCAUUUUUCAAUACAUCAUAUAUCAAUUUCCUUAUUUCUUCUCUUUCCUCUAUAAUGUUUAGGGAAUGAAAUCCAUUCCCUAAAUUUAGAGAAGUACGGUUCAUAAAUACAUAAUUUAGGGAAUCGAUAGGAUAGCUGAUGUAAAGAUUUUUUAAUUACCCUAUCUAAAAUUAAGAUAAAAUUUUUGAAUAGGAUAUCUAAUAUGAUGCUCUAAAAAUAGGUAAUAGGUAGAAUGUGAAAUUGGCCGGUCGAUCCCAUAAUUAAUCAGGUUAUAAGAUUUAGAUAUUUGAUAUAAAAAAAAUAUCUAUAUGCACCACUAACAUUACUAUGGAUGAUAAUCCAUAUUCCAUAUACAUCUGUUAUUUUUUAAGAUUUAGAUUUAAAAAUAAGAUUAUAUAGAUAGACGUGCGAAGCUGCGAGGAAAAAACAUGUCAUCCAUUUUAACCUAAUGUAUAAUAUUUUUAAAAAUUGGGGGUCAUGGUGAACAAAUUAAAGGUUAAGUGGACAAAUGGAAAGAUUGUCCAGGGGAUCUGUUGCUCUCGCGUUGGUCCCUUUUUAUCCAGGUCUUUCUAACAGCGACGAAACCCUAAUCAUGGCGAAUCUGGGUGGGGUCAGGUCGUCUUCUCCUUCUCCUCGCAAGGAUUCUUUUAAUAUCUCCAUGUUACGUGAUGGCUAGCUUCGGUGUCCUCCUUCCUCGACACAUACAAGAAAGUAAGCCUGACGCUUCGGUGUCCUCCUUCGGGCGCUGAGCAGGUCUCCAUUGCGAUCGAUCUCGUUCGUAUCGUUGCAUGUGUCUAUUACUUCUUAAAUGUUUUCCUUAUUAGUCCACUAAUUUUCAAUUAUCUCGAUGCUUCAAGUAAGUUUCUCGUUCAGUUAUGAUUUAUGAAUACGCGAUCCCAUUUCUAUUGAUCCUAUUCCUUUGGAAUGAUAUGUUUUUGUGAAUCGGAUUGAAUCCGUGUGCUUAGGAUUGAGCAAAUUGGGGAGUAACAUGAUCUACUUGAAGAUAUUGACCAUGUGAAUUUUUUUUCCCAUUGGACAGGCUCUCAUUUGACCUUUUCCUGCAUUUUCAAAAUCUAUUCCUUGUUUGUUUUCUUAUAAACCUUUGGAUAGAACUUAUGCUAUGUGGAUUGCAUUAUGCUAUGCUUGAAUUGCUUUUACUAUUUGUUUCUGUUUCAGUUACUGAAGCUAGUUUGAAGAUGCUAUAUUUUUUUAUUGAAAAUUCUUAUUUUGUCUUUAGAUCCAUUCAUUUCUCUCCAAGCAAUUCUCACAAAUGGUUUUUUCCUAUGAUAAUCGCGCAUAUCAUAUAUUCAAUGUGCUGUGGAAAUCUAUUAUUUCCAUUAGUUUGUUAAAUUAACUACACAUUCCAGAUCUAGGAGCUGCAGCUCUUAGGAAGGAAUUACUUUCAAGAACUCUGAGAGUAGUAACAUUCAUGGACUAUAGGCUGGUUAUGAAACAAGUUGCUAUAGUGUGUAUUAACCUGAUUCAAGAAAAGAAGAUGAAAUGCCUAAACAAGAUUAUGCACUACGGUUUGGCACAUAGUUAGGGAAUUAAGGAUGAGGAGAUGGAGACAAGUAUCUUAUUUGGAUCAGAGGGACUCAAUUCAAGCAUUUAAAGAGACACUUUAAGUUGCAUCUGUCCUUUAUUACUAAACAUUUGAUUAAAUUUGGAGCAAUGCCCUUCUCAAUUUAUGAUAUGACAAUCUGUUUGAGUAGGGGAGAAUUUUUUUAUGCCUCUACUGUCUACCACAUACAAACCGAAACUUUUCUUCAACAGUUUGGUUGUUGUUUUCCUCCUAUUCUUAUCUCUCUCCCUCUAUGACAUGCAUUCACGUAAACAUCCGUAUGCCCUCUACUGAUUCUCAACCACUUCUAUGUGAUUUUUUUAUGGAGUCAAUGUCAUAGCAAACUUCCUUUUUCUUGAGUUGUCAAAGACUUUAUGAGUUUAGCUUGGAGUUCUUUAAACCUUUGAGCUACAAGGUUUUCCAGCACCUCAGAUUUUAGAAGACUAUGAUUUUUUUUAUCACUAGGCCCUAGUCACUUAUCGCCAACUUUUACAUUGUCAAAUAAGAAUGAACUAUUUGACUUCUUGCAUUUGCUUGUGUUCUCUUAGAAUUGACAUACUUUUUUAUCCCAUGAUCAUGCUCUCUAGUCUAUCUUAAUCGAUACUUUUAAGAAAAAAGGAAAGGUAAACUAGUUAGCCUCAUUGACUAGUCCUGUAAAUCGGGAGCCCAGCAUCCUUUGGUUGCGCGCCCCAUUUGAAAGGAAAAAAUUCUAUAAAUUCGCCAUAGCUGGAGAUCAAGCCAUGGGUGCCUAGGUGACAACCUGGAUGUCCUAUUGCACCAUAGCCCCUGGGGCUUAAUUGAGACUUUUAAGAUGGCAUAUGAUGUGAGCCUUAAUGAUGAUAGUUUGCCCCAAGAUAGUUUUGCACUUGUCUCUGGAAAGCACAUCAAAUACUUGGGAAUGACUAAUACAGCCACUAGUCUUUAUAAUGAGAAUCAAUACUAUUCGUUUAAUGUUAGUGGUGUCUUGUCUCUUUUACCUUUGAGUCUAACUUGAAGGGUGUCUUCCAUGGUUCUGCUGUUGUCAAAUUCUGUAUUCCCACUAAGGCUGCACUACAGGUUUAUCCUGUUUCAAAAUGCAUGUUUUAAAGUGGCAAUAGGUUUGAAGUCAUUGUUUUAUGUUAUGGGAACAAAAAAGUUUGGUGUUUGCCUCUUGUGUGUUUUUCUGCUGUGAAAACGUGGAAAUACUGAAUUCAUUCUAGGGUUUCCUACAUGCGUAGUGAAGUUAUCUUAGUUAGCUAUAAAAGUGCUUCUAAUAGUUUGCUUUUAUGACUUAUAACUAUACAUAGUUUUUAAUUUUUAUUACGCAUAUUGUUUUGUUUAGCCUCUUGCAAUACAAAGUAAGGUUGUGUACAAUAGACCUAAUGUGAUAUGACCAUCGGGCCCCACAUUGGCGGGAGCUUCGUGCACUUUCGUUUUUUAUAUUGUUUUGUUCCUUAUUAAUUUGGCGGCUGUAUACUGUAGUUUGAAUGUUAAAUUACACUGGUGUAGGAAGCUUAUUCUACUUCUGUUCUACCAUUUGAUGUUCUUGUUAACAAGCCUUCUGAGAAGAAGUUUGCAUUCGUGAGUUUGCCAUUAUGCACAAACUGCCAACUAAAUUUGGACCAUUGGUGUCUGUUCUGACAUUGGUGGUGCUAGUUCAUCUACCUAGUUGCUGCUCCAUCAAAUGCUGAAAAGAAUCAAGCAAGAAAAGGUGGUGAAUUGAGUUUGGAGCAAAUUUACCUUCUUUUUGGUUGAAAUGCUGCCUGCAGUGCUGUGAGCUGAGUUUUCGUUGUCAUACUCAAAAUGUCGUCCUGUGACACCUGUCUAUUUGCUUGGACUUUUGGGGAACUUCAAAUGCUAAUUCAGGUUCUUGAGUUCUUACCUUUAGCCUUACUAAGAUGACUAGGUUCUUAAUUUGAUGAAUUUCAAAUUUUGCCAAAAUUUUGUUGCUAAUUUUCUCGGGAAGUGUUCAAAAUAAUUAGAUCUAAAAGUGUGGCUCUGCAAGGUGGACAAUGCAUGUAUAAGGGAGCAGUAAGCCAGACUGCUAGCUGAGGUUUAAGGGACCAUGCUGUCCAGCCUGUGUAAUGCACCUCGCCACGUCAGCUCGGUUGGCUCCUGUCUGUGGUUAACAGUUUAAGCUUGAACUCAUCCCGGGUGUAUAAAUGACCAGCUGUCUGGAAAUGGACUUAUUAAGACAUACCUGGUGGAUGUAUUUAAAGUAGUUCCAAAUAAUUCAGGGCCUGCCAUCUGAUACCUUGAUUUUGGUGAUUUAUCUUCGAAACUAGGACUCCUCAUGAGGUGCUUACUAUUCACAUAAAUAUAUAGGUAGAAUCCAAAAUAUUACUGCUUUUGAUGUGUUGCUUCUGGCUUCUGCCUUUUCCUUGUUUUGAAAUCAAGCAUAUUUUUCUUUUCCAAGCGGAUUUAAGACUUUUGGUGAUUUAAGCAGGUCCUCAGUUGGAUCUUCAGUGAUGUGACCAAAUGUGGGAGAAUACUCUAAAUGGUCCUGGGUUUGUUCUUUUGUUUUGUUUUGCUUUUAUUAGAAAAAAGAAGUAUAUCCAAGGAUUGAACCAUUAUUCCGAGGACAGGUGAGUUUCUGAUGAUAUUGCCGUUUUACUUGUAGAAAAAAUUCAGAUUUUGCACCCUUUUCUAAUCUUAUUUAUUAAGGUGUAUGUCUAAGCUCUAUCAUUGUUUCUUUGGUUGAAAUUGCGUUUACAUGUUUAAAUUAUAGAAAAAAUGGUGCUGUUCUUCAAAUUGUGAUACAGUUGCACGAGGAAGAUAAAGACGUGGAGAUGUGCAAAUAGGAUGUGGUGGCAAAAUAAUAUUGGUGAUGCUUGUUGCUGCUUUGAAGUUCAUGUAUGCACUGCACGAAGGCCUUUUCCUAUGGAGCAACGCCCCCAAAUGGACGCGGUAUGGGCGAUUCAAUGGGGUUUAGGUGUGUCAACAUCGCACACAAGUUUGAUCUUGCAACUUGCUAAGAACUCACAAGAUGAUACUCCAUUGUUGCCUCAAUGAUAGCUUUUUGUUCUCCUCGUGUUUGGUGUUUAUGCGUACAUUUUGUGUGCGCUUUUUAUCCGUGUAGAAGAGAGAUGGACUUUAUAAACAGCUUACUUUUUAUUUGAUUCUCCUGGACCAUCCAAAAUUUCAUACCAGGGAUAAUAU